GGGGAAUCUGGCAAAUGGUGCUUCAGUUUAGAUGAGGAUUCAAUUUUAUUGCAGCUAAAGAAUGGGUUUUCGCCUGAGAUGGAGGUUAUAUACAUUGGUUCCCUCAAGGUUGAAAUCGACGCCAGCGAACAGGAAGAGGUUGCUCAGAAGCUGUUCGACAAUUUUAAUUUUGUACCUACAUUUCUUCCUUCUGAUCUCCAAAAAAACUUUUAUCUUGGGUUUUGCAAACAGCAGCUUUGGCCCUUAUUCCAUUACAUGCUACCCAUGUGCCCAGAGCACGGUGAUCGCUUCGAUCGGCAGCUUUGGCAAGCCUAUGUUUCUGCGAAUAAAAU
rnacentral:misc_RNA from 1 species